GAUGAACGCUGGCGGCGUGCUUAACACAUGCAAGUCGAACGGUGAACACGGAGCUUGCUCUGUGGGAUCAGUGGCGAACGGGUGAGUAACACGUGAGCAACCUGCCCCUGACUCUGGGAUAAGCGCUGGAAACGGCGUCUAAUACUGGAUAUGUGACGUGACCGCAUGGUCUGCGUUUGGAAAGAUUUUUCGGUUGGGGAUGGGCUCGCGGCCUAUCAGCUUGUUGGUGAGGUAAUGGCUCACCAAGGCGUCGACGGGUAGCCGGCCUGAGAGGGUGACCGGCCACACUGGGACUGAGACACGGCCCGGACUCCUACGGGAGGCAGCAGUGGGGAAUAUUGCACAAUGGGCGCAAGCCUGAUGCAGCAACGCCGCGUGAGGGAUGACGGCCUUCGGGUUGUAAACCUCUUUUAGCAGGGAAGAAGCGAAAGUGACGGUACCUGCAGAAAAAGCGCCGGCUAACUACGUG
rnacentral:rRNA from 1 species